rnacentral:rRNA from 1 species
AUUUGAGGAUGAAAGCGGGGGACCUUCGGGCCUCGCGCUAUAGGGUUGGCCGAUGGCUGAUUAGCUAGUUGGUGGGGUAAAGGCCUACCAAGGCGACGAUCAGUAGCUGGUCUGAGAGGACGACCAGCCACACUGGGACUGAGACACGGCCCANACUCCUACGGGAGGCAGCAGUGGGGAAUUUUGGACAAUGGGCGAAAGCCUGAUCCAGCAAUGCCGCGUGUGUGAAGAAGGCCUUCGGGUUGUAAAGCACUUUUGUCCGGAAAGAAAUCCUUGGUUCUAAUAUAGCCGGGGGAUGACGGUACCGGAAGAAUAAGCACCGGCUAACUACGUGCCAGCAGCCGCGGUAAUACGUAGGGUGCAAGCGUUAAUCGGAAUUACUGGGCGUAAAGCGUGCGCAGGCGGUUUGCUAAGACCGAUGUGAAAUCCCCGGGCUCAACCUGGGAACUGCAUUGGUGACUGGCAGGCUAGAGUAUGGCAGANGGGGGUAGAAUUCCACGUGUAGCA